UACGUAGGGUGCGAGCGUUGUCCGGAUUUAUUGGGCGUAAAGAGCUCGUAGGCGGUUUGUCGCGUCGGCCGUGAAAUCUCCACGCUUAACGUGGAGCGUGCGGUCGAUACGGGCAGACUUGAGUUCGGUAGGGGAGACUGGAAUUCCUGGUGUAGCGGUGAAAUGCGCAGAUAUCAGGAGGAACACCGGUGGCGAAGGCGGGUCUCUGGGCCUUACCUGACGCUCGAGGUGCGAAAGCUAGGGGAGCGAACAGG
rnacentral:rRNA from 1 species